rnacentral:lncRNA from 1 species
CCGCGCGCCCCGCCUCGCGCCCUCUGGAGCUGACCGCUGUUCCCAGUGUCUCGCCCACCCCCGCGGGGCCCGUCCGACUCGACGGGUGAGCCCGUGGUUCCCGGCUCCGCACCGUCGCCUGCCUCUCUGCAGACCACCCCGGACCCGACCCCUCAGCCACUUCCCCACGCUGCCCCUUUCGCUUCCCCCAUGACGCGGGGCCUAGGACGAGGGUCUGGGCCAAGAGGAACUUCCCCGCAAGAAGUGCCGAGCUAAGGACGCUACUAAGGGGGCGGGAUCGCCACGUGGAGUUUUGUUUUAGGUGCUGUCUCUCCUGUUGUUGUUGUCCUUUACACGAUGGUGUUGCAAGAAAAUGGAUAUGGUGUUGAGGAAGACAUUCCAACAUUACUAAUGGCUGCUAGCAGUAUGGAUGACAUUCUGGCUAUCACUGGAUUCAAUACAUGCUUGAGCAUAGUCUUCUCCUCGGGUAAACAAGAAAAUAUAACAACCACCAGAUCAUUCAU